GACGGAGGGUGCUAGCGUUGUUCGGAAUUACUGGGCGUAAAGGGCGCGUAGGCGGCUGCUCAAGUCGGGUGUGAAAGCCCGGGGCUCAACCCCGGAACGGCACCCGAGACUGGGCGGCUCGAGACCGGGAGAGGUGGGUGGAAUACCCAGUGUAGAGGUGAAAUUCGUAGAUAUUGGGUGGAACACCGGUGGCGAAAGCGGCUCACUGGCCCGGUUCUGACGCUGAGGCGCGAAAGCGUGGGGAGCAAACAGG
rnacentral:rRNA from 2 species